rnacentral:rRNA from 1 species
AUUAGCGGGGGACAACGUUUCGAAAGGAACGCUAAUACCGCAUACGCCCUACGGGGGAAAGCAGGGGAUCUUUUGACCUUGCACUAAUGGAUGAGCCUAGGCUGGAUUAUCUAGUUGGUAGGGUAAAGGCCUACCAAGGCGACGAUCUGUAGCUGGUCUGAGAGGAUGGCCAGCCACACUGGAACUGAGACACGGUCCAGACUCCUACGGGAGGCAGCAGUAGGGAAUCUUCGGCAAUGGAGGCAACCCUGAUCCAGCCAUGCCGCGUGAGUGAAGAAGGCCUUCGGGUUGUAAAGCUCUUUCGGCCGGGAAGAAAUCGCAUGGGCCAAUACCCUGUGUGGAUGACGGUACCGGAAUAAGAAGCACCGGCUAACUACGUGCCAGCAGCCGCGGUAAUACGUAGGGUGCGAGCGUUAAUCGGAAUUACUGGGCGUAAAGCGUGCGCAGGCGGUUUUGUAAGACAGGCGUGAAAUCCCCGGGCUCAACCUGGGGACUGCGUUUGUGACUGCAAGGCUAGAGUACGGCAGAGGGGGGUGGAAUUCCACGUGUAGCAGUGAAAUGCGUAGAGAUGUGGAGGAACACCAAAUGGCGAAGGCAGCCCCCUGGGUCGAUACUGACGCUCAUGCACGAAAGCGUGGGUAGCAAACAGGAUUAGAUACCCUGGUAGUCCACGCCCUAAACUAUGUCAACUAGGUGUUGGGUGGGUAAAACCAUUUAGUACCGUAGCUAACGCGUGAAGUUGACCGCCUGGGGAGUACGGCCGCAAGGUUAAAACUCAAAGGAAUUGACGGGGACCCGCACAAGCGGUGGAUGAUGUGGAUUAAUUCGAUGCAACGCGAAAAACCUUACCUACCCUUGACAUGCCAGGAACUUGCCAGAGAUGGCUUGGUGCCCGAAAGGGAGCCUGGACACAGGUGCUGCAUGGCUGUCGUCAGCUCGUGUCGUGAGAUGUUGGGUUAAGUCCCGCAACGAGCGCAACCCUUGUCGUUAAUUGCCAUCAUUUAGUUGGGCACUUUAGCGAGACUGCCGGUGACAAAUCGGAGGAAGGUGGGGAUGACGUCAAGUCCUCAUGGCCCUUAUGGGUAGGGCUUCACACGUCAUACAAUGGUCGGUACAAAGGGUCGCCAAGCCGCGAGGUGGAGCCAAUCCCAGAAAGCCGAUCGUAGUCCGGAUUGCAGGCUGCAACUCGCCUGCAUGAAGUCGGAAUCGCUAGUAAUCGUGGAUCAGCAUGUCACGGUGAAUACGUUCCCGAGUCUUGUACACACCGCCCGUCACACCAUGGGAGCGGGUUCCGCCAGAAGUAGGUAGCCUAACCGCAAGGAGGGCGCUUACCACGGCGGGGUUCGUGACUGGGGUGAAGUCGUAACAAGGUA